UACGUAGGGGGCUAGCGUUGUCCGGAAUCAUUGGGCGUAAAGGGCGCGUAGGCGGAUCUUUAAGUCGGGGGUGAAAGCCUGUGGCUCAACCACAGAAUUGCCCUUCGAUACUGGGGAUCUCGAGACCGGAAGAGGUGAGUGGAACUGCGAGUGUAGAGGGUGAAAAUUCGUAGAUAUUCGCAAGAACACCAGUGGCGAAGGCGGACUCACUGGUCCGGUUCUGACGCUGAGGCGCGAAAGCGUGGGAGCAA
rnacentral:rRNA from 1 species